UUGUAUGAAAUUUAUUAAUUCAUUGAGACUGAUUCUCAAUAUCUGAUACUGGUUGGAGGGAUAGUUGAAUGCUGAAGUUGAAGCAAUGAAACAAUGAAACAUCAUUCAUCAGUAGGUAAGAAAUAAGAUCAUGGUAAUUUGUCAUAAAAUCACUAAUUACCUUCAACUUAAUAAAAUUAUGAUGUAUAUAACCCUCAUGUGGGGAAGAGAUCCAUUCUUAUGCACAAAUAUUUAUGUUUACACCAAAACUGGUUGCAAUACAGUUGCUUGUGUGAUUGAUGAAUUUUUGCAGUAAAAGCCAUUAACAGAGCUAUGUGAUGCUUCCCAAAGCUCCAAUUUUCUGGCUCAUCGUUAAGUAGUACAUUACAAUUAUUGUGGUAAUCAGUUUUAAUUGCUAUGGAAAUCGGGUUUGUAAUUGUAUUAGACUAGCUUGCACUUGCAAAAUAGGCAUAACAGCAGCUGAGUAAAAUCCAAAUUAGAAAAUUUUAUGGUGUAAAUAGACCUUGUGUUGUGGGAGAUUAGCCCAAAUGCAUAUAACUUGCAAUUACACAAACUUCCUUUUAGAAAACUUUAUGAUUUGUUUUCUUGAUGUAUUCUUGCGGACGAAUCACAUAUACCAAGCUAAGUCGGAGUAUUGUUUAUUUCUCAAGAUCAAACAUUAGAUCAUCUCUGUCUGGACUAUCCUAUAUUCUGCUGGAUUUUGUUUUAGAAGGUGCCUCUCGACUGGUCUUUAACCGGCCCGGAACAUAUUGGUUUGCAGGUGAUUUCAGUGUCUGGUCCACCAUCAAGAUAUGCUGAGAAGUGGCUAGAAGAUCAGCAUUAUUCAUCUUUUUGCCAGGUUAAAUGUACUUGAAUAUUCACUUCCAUGUUAGUGAAUCAAAUGUGACUUUAUUCUCUUUUUUUCUUUUUUGUAUCAUAGGUUAUAUGCGUCUGACAUUUAUAGCAGUUCUCCAGUUUUUCAAUAUUUGAGGUUUAUUUGAUUCCUUCUUUAGACAAGUAGGAAAAUCUAUGCAAUAUCAAAGGGUGCUCAAAAUUAAUAGUUUAAUUACUUAACAUGUCCAAGCACAUUGUAUUGCGGAGGUAGUGUAAGAAACACAUACACUUCUAAAAAAGUAUGUGUCUAUGUUGGAGAAUGACACUUGGACAUGCUUUAUGCCAAUGACACUCCUCAUGCUCUAAGCCUCCUACACAUUUCAGACAUGCCCCGAUAUGUGUUGGACAUGCAUUCAAACAUGUUCUAUUAUUUGAAAAAAAAAAAAGAA